rnacentral:rRNA from 1 species
UUCCUACGGGGGGCUGCAGUGGGGAAUAUUGGACAAUGGGCGAAAGCCUGAUCCAGCCAUGCCGCGUGAGUGAUGACGGCCCUAGGGUUGUAAAGCUCUUUCGCAGGUGAAGAUAAUGACGGUAACCUGAGAAGAAGCCCCGGCUAACUUCGUGCCAGCAGCCGCGGUAAUACGAAGGGGGCUAGCGUUGUUCGGAAUUACUGGGCGUAAAGCGCACGUAGGCGGAUACUUAAGUUAGGGGUGAAAUCCCAGGGCUCAACCCUGGAACUGCCUUUAAUACUGGGUAUCUCGAGUCCGAGAGAGGUGAGUGGAAUUCCGAGUGUAGAGGUGAAAUUCGUAGAUAUUCGGAGGAACACCAGUGGCGAAGGCGGCUCACUGGCUCGGUACUGACGCUGAGGUGCGAAAGCGUGGGGAGCAAACAGGAUUAGAUACCCCGGUAGUC